UAAAAGUGCAGAUAUCCUUAUGGUUUACUUAGGUCUGAAGCACAGGAAAAUCUGUAGAAAUACUUAUGUUGUCUUUGGAAGACUUACAAGGACACAUAAAAUAUUUCUCCUGUAAAAACCACUCAUGUUUUAUCAAUAUUACAUUAUGCACUUCCCACUGUUGGUGUGCCUUGGUCUCAGAUUAGUUCAUUGUUCUCACCUGCAAAAUGACACACACACACAUACUCCAGGUGAAGCCAAGUUCCUAGCUUAACAAGCCAGUACAACACAGAGGAUAAAAUCUGAAGGAAGAAGCAAAAGCUUUUUUUAGACUGUGGAAGAUGAGUGUAUUUUCAUUUAGGCUGCCAGAAAAAGAAUGUGCUCUUUGGACAAUGUCUGGCUAAAUUGGGGUGCAGUUAUGGUGUGUGAGGUUUUUGUACCCAGCUGCUGCUGGUGUACUUCAGCUGCAAUGCUGCCUUCCUGCAAGUUGUGCUCUCCUGACCAUGCUGAGUCUAGAGGUUUGCCUGAAGGAGGGGAAGUGACAGGGUUACAGGAACUGGAAGUCAGACCUAGAAAAGCCCUUCACCAGCAGCUAUUGGGCUACAGAAUCCUACUCCAUGCUGCUUUGUCUGUUGGCCACGUUAAUGGACAGUGCUUUCCUCUGCAUCUCCCCCUGGACUGCAUGAGAAUAAUGGGGUAUCCACAAGAUGUGAAUGAUCUCAGCACAAACAAAUGAAUGCAACUUUCCCCUUGCCAAAACCUAAGUAAAAAGACGCUCUAGUUCAGAUCUCAGAGAAGAACGGAUGUGUCCACCUCUUGUAAAGGAGGGCAUUCUUGGCUUAUUAUAUUUGCAAAUAUUCAUUGUCCUGAAUAAUCCUUGGUGUUUUAAGUGACUCUGAGAACUUUCCUAAGGGAGGAUAUGCGGGGCCACAGCUCUUCCCAGGAGCCUCAGGAGGUUUUUAGGAAAGGUCAGCUGGAGCUUUCCCAAGCCAUGCUGGCGUGGGAGGGUAUUUGCCAAAGCUGGCCAGGAAGCUGUGAAUGAAGCAUCAUGCACCAGUGUGGAGGUCUGAGGGAAAGGGAACAUCAGAGCGGUUUCCCACACCCAGACACUAGGAGAAAGCUGUAUUAGAAAUAAACUGAUAGGCGUCUAGACA
rnacentral:lncRNA from 1 species